rnacentral:lncRNA from 1 species
AUGCUGGUGAAUCUGCUCCCCAGUACCUGGAGUUCUGUCUGGCCAGCGCCCCACCUCCGCCCUCUCCCUCACUCACCUGCCUGGGCGCACACACGUGUUGCCCCAUGUGUUUGCCUCAGCAUGACUCGUGUGGAGGCAGAUUUGGACCGAAAACAUUUGAUUGGAAAGCCACUGCAGGCCCGUACUGGGAGGAAGUCUCCAGGUUUCCAAACCCAUCCUCUUGUAUCAUCAAAAUGUCUCAGCAUGUUGAACAAAGCCAAACAUAUCCAUUUGGAGAAAUGGACCAGGAAGUUAUGCACAGCGACUGAAAUGCCACCUUGUCUGCUGUCAAUGCAGAUGGAAGCAUGGUCAGCAUUGAGAGCUGAGAAGCCACAGUGAUGAGCUGAAGAGCCAAGAGAGAAAGAGAAGACUCCUAACUUGUGUUUAUGAGGAGCGUAUCCCCAGGAGGAACAGGGUGGCACGGAUUAGUGCCACAGCUUUCCUUGCAGAUGGAGAAAUUACGCCAGGAGGGAGGGUUGCGCAGGUGGAGCAGAGAUUUUAAUAAUUACUGCUGACAGCAGCCGUGUUUUUAAUACCAUAGCAACAAUCAACUCCUGGUUUAUUCCGAGUUGAUAAAAUUAUCCAGACCACAAAGAUAUUAUUAAAAACAAAACAAAACAGAAAUGUCUAUUCCAUGGGCCUGAAGGCAGUGCUUCUGAAAUCUUACUGUGGUUUGGAGUCAGCAGGGGCUGCGAGCUACACAUGCAGAUUCACAGACUGAACUCUGAGAUCUAGAGCACGUGUGGGAAG